UAUUAAUAAUCUCAUCCAUUUGUACUAAUAAAAAUUGGUAUGGGUGAUGGAAUAACUAAGCAGUGACACGUGGCUUGCCACAUAUACAUUAUGCGUAUAUACAAAGAUCUAUUUUUAAUAGUAAAAAUGGAUAGAAUUUUACCU
rfam:Gossypium hirsutum cultivar TM-1 chromosome 26, whole genome shotgun sequence